rnacentral:rRNA from 1 species
CCAGACUCCUACGGGAGGCAGCAGUGGGGGAUAUUGCACGAUGGGGGGAACCCUGAUGCAGCGACGCCGCGUGGGUGAAGGAGCGUUUCGGCGCGUAAAGCCCUAUCGGCAGGGAAGAAGGAGGACGGUACCUGACUAAGAAGCCCCGGCUAACUACGUGCCAGCAGCCGCGGUAAUACGUAGGGGGCAAGCGUUAUCCGGAUUUACUGGGUGUAAAGGGGGCGCAGACGGCAGCGCAAGCCAGGAGUGAAAGCCCGGGGCCCAACCCCGGGACUGCUCUUGGAACUGCGCGGCUGGAGUGCAGGAGGGACAGGCGGAAUUCCUGGUGUAGCGGUGAAAUGCGUAGAUAUAUGGAGGAACACCAGUGGCGAAGGCGACGAUCUGGCCUGCAACUGACGCUCAGUCCCGAAAGCGUAGGGAGCAAAUAGGAUUAGAUACCCCAGUAC